UGGGGAAUCUUCCGCAAUGGACGAAAGUCUGACGGAGCAACGCCGCGUGAGUGAAGAAGGCCUUCGGGUCGUAAAACUCUGUCAUAAGGGACGAACGAUGUUUAGGUGAAUAAGCUAAGCAAGUGACGGUACCUUAGGAGGAAGCCACGGCUAACUACGUGCCAGCAGCCGCGGUAAUACGUAGGUGGCGAGCGUUGUCCGGAAUUAUUGGGCGUAAAGGGCGCGUAGGCGGGAUAGUAAGUCAAACGUAAAAGGCCGGGGCGCAACCCCGGUAAGCGAAGGAAACUACUAUUCUUGAGUGCAGGAGAGGAAAGCGGAAUUCCCAGUGUAGCGGUGAAAUGCGUAGAUAUUGGGAGGAACACCAGUGGCGAAGGCGGCUUUCUGGACUGUGUCUGACGCUGAGGCGCGAAAGCCAGGGGAGCGAACG
rnacentral:rRNA from 1 species